UAGUUCUUCUGGAAAAUCUCAAAUGUUAAGGCUUAUAAAAAAUCGUACUUAAACCAAAAAAGGUAAAUUUGUUUAUCAAAAUAAUGGUGAAAAAAUUAAAAAAAGAUAUGGAACUCGGCAAAAUUACCCCGUACCUUAGGAAUAAGGGGGAGCAAUUUCUAUUAGUUAAUUGCUGUAAAAAGAAAAAAUCUGCGACUGGUUAUUAAAACCACACGACUAUGAUAAACUAAUAAUAAAUAUAUGGUCGGACUGGUGCUAAAUGCCUGUACAUUGAACACAAAAUAGCAUUUGCUCUUUGAUAAUAUCAGGUCAAUAGCGGUCUUACUCUGAGGAUCGUAAUGUAGCGAAAUUCCUUGUCUAAUAAAUAUAGUCCCGCAUGAAUCCAGCAACGACAGAUUUACUGUCAUAUCUUUUUGUUUUGUGAAAUUGAAAUAGAAGUGCAGAUUCUUCUUUGUAGCACCAAGACGAAAAGACCCUUUUAACCUUUACUAUAAGCAAUUAUUGCUAAAACCUUAACGUAUUGUUCAGAAUAAACAACAGCUUAUGAUAUUUUUGUUUACAAAAAUAGAAGCAAAUGUGAGAUAUUGUUCUUUACUGGGUUGAGGCUAAUUUUUCGAAAGACAGUAAUUGCCUGUUAGUUUCUUUGGGGCGAAGUUCUUUUAAAAAGUAACAAAGAAGCGCAAAAGGUAAAUUCAGAUGAAAAAUUUUAUUUUAGAGUGUAAAAGCAAAUAUUUACUUAACUGUAAGACUGAUAAGUUAAGCAGAAAUGCAAGUUGGCUUUAAUGAACCAAUUUUUCUGAUUGAAAAGGAAAUUGUUCAUCAGAUAAAAGGUACUAUAGGGAUAACAGAAUAAUAAAAACCAAGCGAUCAAAGCGACGUUUUUGUUUGUGACCUCGAUGUCGACUUAUGGGAUCCUCAGUGUGAAGAAGCUCUGAAGGGUUUGACUGUUCGUCAAUGAAAGCCGUACAUGAGUUGGGUUUAAAACGAUGUGAAUCAGUUUUGUUUCUAUCUGGUGUUACUUUAUAAAACUGAGAGUUUUCUUAUUUAGUAUGAGAAGAAUAAUAAGAGUAAGCCAAUUGUUACUGUCCAUUUUCUUAUAAUGUUCAGGUAGCAACGCUUUAAAAAAUAAAAAAUGAAAGCAUCUAUUCAAGUUUCAAGUUUUACUCAAAACAGGUUUU
rnacentral:rRNA from 1 species